rnacentral:lncRNA from 1 species
UAUGUCCAGGCUUUUUUCUUGUUUAGAUUUCUUAUGUCCACAAGUUAUCAACCAGCUUGAACCUUAGUUUUCUCUUUUUAGAGCUGGAUGUAUGAAUCCCUAACUCACUGAGUUAUGGUUAAGAGUUAAUUGAGCUGGUAAAUGUAGAGCUGAAACUUAAACUAAUUCUCUGUCUCCAAAUUCUAGUUCUUUGCCUCCUGAAUUGUAUCCUAGAGCUUAAUGUAAGACUCUGGUCCUAAUUAUCCACUGCUCCCUCUCCUACAGUAUAGGCUUAAAUUAGAUUGAGUUGCUUUCUUGGGUACACUAGUCUUGUGCUUCUUCAUCUUUUGCAGGCUUGUCUCUCCUAGAACACAUUCCCAGUGCUGCAAGGCUCAGUCCUUCCCACUUCAAAGAUCUUGAUGAAAAACAGCCUCUGUCAGUAAACUUCCCACAAUCUCUGCAUCAUGAAAUAGCUGCAGGAAUGGCUAUCAUCUUCACUUCUUCACUAAUGUGAAUAUGUACGAUUUAUGAGUUAUAGUAUGGAUGCAUAUCUGAGUAUGCAAAAAUGUUUCCAGUAAACUCUGAUCAACUACACCUUUAUAAUUUCAUCUUCUUUUUUUUUUUUUUUUGAUACUGGAGAUCGAACUCGGGACCUUGCGCUUGUGAGGCAGGUGCCAGAACCACUGAGCUAAAUCCCUGGCCCACCUUUAUAAUUUCAAUUCACAGUUAUACCUUCAUGCUCUUGGCUA